AAUUCUCUCUUUUUUAUGCUCUUAAGUUCCAAUUUUCUGUUGCUUUCCCAUGUCACCCACAUCCAAUGUCUCGUUUUUGUUUUUUUUUGUUUUUUUUACUUGCUUUUGUUUUGAGUGAAAUAUCGGUUUUUGGACUUUGGAUGUUACAAGUUAGAACUAGCCUUUAGCUUAAAAAAAUACAAGUGGCUGGGGUCGAAUGUCCUUUCCAAACUUGUCUUUCACUUGCACCUUAAGAAAAAAAAAAAAAAAAGAGAAAAAAGGGUCCCGCAUUUAACAUCAGAACAAGCUUCCAAAUAUAAAAACAUGAAAAAAUGAAACUUGAGCAUAAAAUAUAAAAAAAAUAUGGUAUUUUUUUAACUUAAAUUAACGAGAAGAAGGGAAGAGGGCAG
rnacentral:lncRNA from 1 species